GAUGAACGCUGGCGGCGUGCCUAAUACAUGCAAGUCGAGCGAACAGACGAGGAGCUUGCUCCUCUGACGUUAGCGGCGGACGGGUGAGUAACACGUGGAUAACCUACCUAUAAGACUGGGAUAACUUCGGGAAACCGGAGCUAAUACCGGAUAAUAUAUUGAACCGCAUGGUUCAAUAGUGAAAGACGGUUUUGCUGUCACUUAUAGAUGGAUCCGCGCCGCAUUAGCUAGUUGGUAAGGUAACGGCUUACCAAGGCAACGAUGCGUAGCCGACCUGAGAGGGUGAUCGGCCACACUGGAACUGAGACACGGUCCAGACUCCUACGGGAGGCAGCAGUAGGGAAUCUUCCGCAAUGUGCGAAAGCUUGACGGAGCAACGCCGCGUGAGUGAUGAAGGUCUUCGGAUCGUAAAACUCUGUUAUUAGGGAAGAACAAAUGUGUAAGUAACUAUGCACGUCUUGACGGUACCUAAACAGAAAGCCACGGCUAACUACGU
rnacentral:rRNA from 1 species